CACAUAUUCGUUUCAUCGAGCCCGUUCUGAUGGAACCAUUUUCACCAUGUGUUUGACAUUCUGAAAACGACCAUUUUGCCCCUGCCCUUAUUCAUCCCCCUCCGAGAGAGUACGUUUUCCGGCGAUCCUUUCCGCGAGUUUCUCGCAGUUUCUGCCGGUGAUUUCUUCCACCCCAGGCAAGCCACACCCUCCAUUUGCAUUACUAUAAUGCAGUGACAUGGUUUAAUCUAUUUGAACUUGUUUAAAAUAUUGCUUUAGCUACAUGACUUUGUGCAUGGCAUUUUCUCGGAGUAUUAUUUUGAUCUUGUUGUUGCCAUGCUAUUGUUUGGAUUACUAGGAGUUAUGUUUGUAGUUGAUGAGUAUCAUGUUGCCAUUGGAGUAUUAGUGGUUGAUAUUAUGAUUGUUUUCAUGAUGAUAUCUGUUAUUAUAUUUUUGGAGUAUUACUUUGGAUGUCAUGCUGCCUUUGGAUUAUUAGUGGUUAGUAUGAUUAUUUUCAUGAUGCUAGUCGAUGUUAUGUUACUGUUGCUUGGAGUAUUAAUUUCGGAGAUGAUGUUUACGUGUGGAUCUUAGCUGGAUAGCUUUGUUCUUGUUAUUGGAGUAGUAGACUUAUUGUUUUCAGAUUCAUCACGAUAGAAAUGUUAUGCUAUCCUUGGAGUUUUUGAUAUGAUGAUAUUAUGCUCAGAUUAUUUGUUGGAUAUUGCUAUGACUUGGAUUAUAGUGUGAUAGUUGAUAUCGGAGUAUCAGUUAUCACAGUUAUAUUUUUGGGGAUAAAUUCCAUCAUUAAGUUGGUCAGGUGCCACCGAACCGGGCUUUCUCAAGUGCAACCACAUUUGCCUUUAUGGGAAGGCCCUAAUGUGAUAAUAUUGACGUGUCUCUCGCCAUUGCCUCCAACGAGGGAAGGUUAUGGGCACGCGCUACCCUGAUCAAGUAGGCGGACAUAAGCCUUGUGUGCACGUAGUUGGAUUUUGCGCGCUUUCGUCCCCGUUUGGGACCAUUUUAGUUUGCCACGACGGUGGCCGUUUUGCCAUGACUGUGGCCGUUGGUGCCUUUGGUAGGCACGGGGCCACCCAGUACUGAACCCAAAGGGGGUGUUGGUCGGAGUGGCCGGGAGAGUGGCAUGGCAGUAGAUCGGUUUUGUCGGAACGCCGUUGGUCCACCCGAAUGGGAGUUUGAGGCCAUGGGUUCCGUGGUGUGGGUACAGUGUGCUACCUCUGCAGAGUGUGUGUUUAAGCUAUCGAUAGCCGUGUCCGUACUAGGUCACACCGUUCGAUCAACACUCAUGUGACGGAAUGACUUAUAGCUGAUUUAUAUGAUGUAUGUGAGUAGUAACAGUUUGGCAGGAUGUUGAUGAUGAUGUUGAGAUGAUCUUGAGGAUGAUCAUUCAGUUUGUGAUGUGGUCACGAGGUGACCGUGUGGAUAUCUUGAUCACGAAGUGAUCAUAUGGACCACGAGGUGGUUGAGAUGGUAUAUUGCUUGGCCGGUUAGCCAAGAAUGAGAUUGUUGUUGGGAAUGAGAUGUUGGUUUAUCAGUAUUGUAGUAGUUUCAUAUCGUGCUUAGUAGUUGCUGUCGUAUCAUGGUAGAUGUUAAUUUAAUUAACCUGCUUAAUGCUAUGUUGUUGUCUUGCCUUGAUGCUUUUGGUUGUUGUGAGCUUGCAAGUACAUUCAAUGUACUGAUCUGGCGUGUCAUGCCAGAUUGCAGGUGAUGUCGUGAUUGCUUUAUUGCUUGUCGUGGUUUCCGUUCGUGCGAGCUAGAUCGUAUCCCUGUCAAAGUCCCUGCGGAGUGGAGUUCACCACCUUCAUCGUUGUUUCGCUGCUAGAAGAUUUCCGCUGCUUCGAGUUGUUCCGCUGCUAGCAUCGAGCAAGUGUAGUAUCGCAGGCGUAGUGUCGUCGUGCUGAUGUGGACCUUUUAACAUCAGACCUUUGUAUUUAUUCUUGUAAUAAGAGCUGAUUUGUUCUAUGUCAAGCAGUGUCGUAUUCCAGAGACUUCUCCUCGAUCUCUGGGUGGAAUACGGGGCGUUCUGGUUUCUUUGAUCCGGGGUGCCACAGGCUUGGUAUCAGAGCAGGUCUGGCUGUAAGACGCCCUAGUCAGGGCGAGCGGUAGAAACCGGUAGAAAUCUGUAAUUUAAAGUCUGGCUUGUAUAUUGCAUUUGUUUGUUGCAUAGCAUGCAUAUAGCCUUAUUAUUUGUUACUAACGGUUUAUCUAGUGAGUGUAGCUGGCAUCGGUUCGGAUCCACUACAGCUCAGCCUCUGCAUUUCUCCAGUUCCUUUUUCUUUCGGUGUUUGGUGUCAUUUCUGUCCCAGCAGAGUGAUGCCAAGUGAUCCCGACACUGUUUGCAGAAAUGGUGCUCAGGUAACGCGCCGAUGUCUUUCUUUCAGUCUCGCCUAUCGUUUCGGUGAUAGACAUGCUUCUAUCCCGGAUCAUUCUUUUAUUUUUUUCGUGUUGGCAACCAUUAAUGAUCUUAGCUAUCAAAAAAGGGCAAAGUCAACAGCCUCCGUUUUUCCUCGCUAUCCUUAUUUUUUGGACGAGUACAGAUCUUUUUCCGUCCGCUUGAUAAUAAUGUGGUUGCGACCUUCGUGUCCCACUACAUGGUUACCAAGUGCGUCCUCGCCUCCGAGCUAGUCCAGGUUGCUACCUGGCUAAGCUAGCACUUGGUGUAGCGCAGUUUACACCAAUUUUUCCACACAUUUAUUCGUCCUCGUGCACAUCGUCACAGCAUGCUAGAUCGUAGAACCGGAGAUUCCGCGAAAAUUGUGUGCUUAAGUAGACAUGCAUAUUGUGUGACUAGCAGUAAUAUGUGACAUUGAUUGUGUGUGAAUUGAUUGUUGUUGUGUGCUCUUGUUAGUUGAGUUUUCUUUUGCUUCUUUCUUUUUGGGCCCCGGUGUUACAUUAUUUUCCCCUAUAAAGAGUUGCUCAUCAACUGACACCAGACUCGAAGAAGCAAUAAGGAUUUCAAAUAAUUGGAAGAAGCUCAGCUGAACAUUAUGGUCCACCCAGUCAACUGCAUUAUGGCAUUAAUAUCUGCUCAGAAUACCAAUAGUGUCUUGGAUUGAUUAUCAGCAUCAAGUCCCCAUCAGUACCAAAUCCUCACAACAGUAAUGAUCAAGUCAGCAGCAAGACAAGUCAGGUACAAGCCCAACGGUAUAUUUUCAGGCAGAGGUAUGGAUCAUAUACAAAGUUUUGGCUCAACAAUGCAUGAUGCUUGAAAUAUCUUAUCAUCCGAAAUAAAGCCAGAAUGUGACAUGCUCGAGGAAGACAGUCAAACCAUUUUUCUCAUGCAAAUAAUCAGCCUCAGAAUAUUAUGGGCGUGUGUAUGGAUUUCAGUCUGCAUAUCAGUAUGAAGUUUUGGAUAUAAGAAACCCAGUAUUAUUCCACACGCUAUCGGAAGAAAUUUAUGAGGCAAGUCUCCUCAAUUUUUCCUCAGCAUGAUAUGUGAACAAUUUCCGGCCCAUGAUACCUGGUUUUUCUCAACAAGAUACCUCGGUAAAAUCUUCUGAUAGACGGAAAUGAAUUUUUCUCAACAAGCAAAACCGAGGAGAAACUUCUCAAGUACGGGACUCAGGCUUCUCCAGCACAAUAAUCAGACCAAGCUUCGUGUGUAAGCUAUAGAGCCUUUUUCUGCACGAUACCCAGACGAAAGAUUUGAGCAGAAGUUAACAAGUCCUCCUCAGCAAGCUACUCGGAUGACUUCUCUCGUAAGCCAUUCAGUCUGCGUCAGUAUCAUACUAUUACACCGUCCUCAGAGAUUAUAUGAUGAGUUGCCAAUAUAUGGCAGUUUCGCUCAAGAAUCAGACUCGUAACAUUUUUGUCGGAAGCACAAAUCAGUCAAAGCAUAGGUCUUCUUCAGAAAUCAAGUGUCUGAAUACGUAUCUUUCCGCAUAUAUGGUGAACAUGUAUCCCCAGUCAUAUUAGUCACUCAUAUGAGAUGCGGCAAGGAUCCAGCAGAUAUACCUAAGGAAAGUAAGGAUUCAACAACAUCACGAGUCAAGUAAAGGAAAAUAAGCAUAGAUACAUCUCAUGAAUUACAAGGAUUGACAAGAUCUAGGGAUGACAUCACAGAAUCCACAGUCUUGACAAUGGUCAUCAAGGUCAUUAUUCCCACACCAAACAAGGUGAUAUCAUGAAACCUUGUCACCUUCUUGUAUGAUUGGCCUCAGCAAUGAGUUCCGUACAGCUACAAACCCCGAGUAUAUGUCAUAUAUGUGCGGACACAGGUUAGAAAAACAAGCACAAGGAAUAAUGUCAAAAAUAUUAAUCACAUCCAUGGUCAUACGAAGAAUCAAGGACAGGCGUGGCCAAGUUAUUUCAGCAAGCUAUCCUGACAAAGAAAAUCAUGAUCGUUAAAAGGUGAGACCGACAACAAAGGUAUGAUGAUUUUGCACGACCAUCAGGGUCCGGAUACCCCAAGUCAGUUGGAGGCCAUAAUUCCAUAUGGAUCCACAAAAACAUACAACUUCAGCGGCCUACUCUAUUUACAAGGAUUUUCAUAUCCCGCUGACCCGCUUGACAUGGUUAGUGUGGAAUAUCCAAGUCUGUUCUGUCAGAUCCAAGAUUCCUUUGCAACCUCAACAGUUUGACCUCAGCGGCAGUGUUAAAACAUAUCACAGCGUAUUACCAAAGAUGGGUAUACCGACAAAAUGAGAAAGUCAAAAGCCGAAUAAUCAGCUCAGACCCGGUAUACUCGCCGACGGAAUCAAGUACACGGUCAGUCUAUCAGGAAAGGCAUUGUCCGUCAGCCCCCUGUCGGGCAAAGUCUCAAGAUGUAAAUAUUUGAGGUAUGACAUAGCUAUAACUCCAUACACCGUUAUAUUGCUCACGACAGAAGGCAGUCAAAUCUCUGGUAUAUGCCACAUGCUCGAGCCAAAGGAAAUAAAUCAAGAUAAAUCAGUGCCACCUAUGAGCAGUCAGAUCCCGUCAGAAGAUGGCCAUGAUUAAUUCUAAGCAUUUAUUGAACCCAGAAGGCUUGCAUUUAUUUGAAGCAACCCCAUGACAUAAGUAAAAAGGUUUUCAUGACCAAAGGAAAAUUUAUGCUCAGAUCCAUUGGAUAUCACCGCAGAUAUGAGAAAAUUCACGUCAGCAAAAGGAAGUGGUAUAUGAGAAAAAACCCGUCAUAAUUUGGGGAAAGGUGAAGCAAGCCACCCCAGAGCAAGGUAAGUUGAUCAUCUGAAAUUCUUGGGGGAACAAUAAAUAAAGGAAAAAAGGAUACCCGAGUUGGAAAAGGUAUCCUCAAGGCAUACUUGUUCCCAGAGCAACUAAAUCUCGAGGACGAGAUUUCCUUAAGGGGGUAAGAGUUGUAACAGCCUGGAUUUUGGCCCUUUUCUUUUUCUUUUGAUUUAUUUGGUUUUUGCUCUGUUUUUUUUUUGAAGUGGUUCUGUGGCCUUGCCACCUGGGAAAUCAUCCUCAUUCCCCCUCCCAAGUGGCUCAGCAUUCUCAAAACCUUGCCAAGAUCAUGUCACUUCACUCCUUGAACAAACCCUAAAAUCUUUUCUAGGGAAUAUUCCUUUUUCUAAUAAAGGAAUAACCCUAUCUACCCUAGGUUGUGAAGCAACCCACAUUUCUGUCCGUCCAAAAAUUCCCAAUUAAUUCUCAAAAUUCCUUUGGGUCAUAUGUUCAUCAAAUAUGCCCAAACUUUCCUGUCCUAGCCCAACAAUAAUUCCCCAAUAAUUAUUCUUCAUUUCUGUCCUGAAUGGAACUUUGUGAAGUAAGUGUCAUUUAUAUUUUCCUAGUGGCUCCCAAGAUUUUUGGGCAUUCUUGUAUGUCCAAAUAAUUGCCUCAUGCACAAGUUCAACUUUGUGAAUUUUCAAAGUUUCUGUCAGACAGAAGGCUUUGUGAAGGAAGUACUAUCUAGGAGUAUCCAAAUGAGUUAAACUUUUGCACACUCCUUAAUGUGCUCAUAUUAACCCCCUCCAUUCUUGUAUGUCCACCCAUUUUCAGCCUCAUCCAAUCAUCUAUGUGAGCACAGGAGCAAAUAUUUGAUUCUGGCAAUAUUUUCAGGUUGUGAAGCAAGUGUAUUUUAUAUUGCUUAAAAAAUCCUGUUAAAUUACCAGAUCAUUCUUCUACCCAUAAAACAUCUCUCCACCAAAUUUGGCAUCAUUUCAUGGAUCCAUUUGAUCACCAAAAUUAUUUCAAGUUUCUGGACAGAAAUGAUGCUUGUGAAGCAAGUGCAAUUUUGGCGUGUCCAUUUGGCAUGAGCUUUUUACAGCAUCUUUAUAUGUCCAUAUCAUGAGGAUUUGCCAAGUUGCAUCCCAUUCCAUAACACCAUGUGAGUGCAUCAUCCAAAUCUUGAUUCUGGACCAAUUUUGGGGUUACAUAGCAACUAUAUUAGUUUGUGCUCCAUUAUGCUCCAAAACCUCCAGGAUCAUAAUCCUUCCGUAGUUAAUCAUCCCAGACAACACCAUUUGACCCAAUCAGUUUCCUGUUGAUCAGCAGUGUUCUGCCAAGUUUGAUGCAGUAAACUUCAGAGCUUAGUUACCAUUUAACCAUAGCACCAUAGAUGAAGCCAUGGCAUCAUAAAUGAUCCACCCUGGAAGGACUAGCUCCCAGACAUAGUUUGCCAUCCUCUACAGCCCUCCCCGUGCCACGUCGUGUGGUGACUGCGCAGAUGGCAUGCACAUUUACGCGCUCUGUGCGCUGUGGCGUGUCCAGAGCACCGUUUGUGCUUUGUCACCGCUCCCUCUCGUCGUCUUAGAGCUCGUGAGCCUGUCCAGUGGCUGCAUCUCGUCGUCGUUGUUCCCCUGGACCCCUCUCCCCCUCCGUCAGCUUCCUCACCGACGCACACCGCCACGUGCCCACGGACGUACAGUGGUGUUUUGGCUCGAUUCGUCGCCGUCGUCUUCCUCCCUGUGCUCCCUUGGCCGCCUCUUCCCCGUGAGAUCUUCCUCCUGUUCCCUCUCGUCGCCUAACACCGAGCUCAUGCAUGUGCACACGCGUCCGCGGUGCCGGAAACGUAUCCACGGCGAUGCCAGCUCGGCCUCCUCGCCUCGCACCUAUUUAAGGCCUCCCCCGAGCCCUCCGAGCGCUCCAAGCUCUUCCUCACCCUCCCAGCAACCUCCCCGACCCAUCCGUUCGACUCCAGAGCCCUCAUCGCCUCGGUUGGCCUCCGCGGCCACGCUCCCCGAUUGGCUCAAGCCGGAGCCCCUCUCCUCAUUCCUCCUCCACCCGUAGCCCAACCAGACCCCGGCGAACCUCUCCCAUCCCUCUUUUCCUCGCCGGAGCCGUUGUGGCCACGCGCCCAAGUUUCGGCCGUCGCCCUCGUUCUCAGUCGCCGCAAGCCGCCGUCGUUCCGCUCCGUCCUGGCGCUGCUGCGGGGUGCAGACGGGUGCGGGACGUCUCGCCACACUCGCUGGUGCCCUCACUCCGGCGGGAGGUGGCCGGAGAUGGCUGGGCCGGCGCCGGCCUCGCUGCUGCCUCCUCUGCUCUGCGGGCGUGCGUCGGGCGAGAGGAAGGAGAUGAGGCCGCUCCCUGCCAGCUGGCCAUGGACCCCGCGGUCCCACCUGGCAGUGGCUCAAGCCGCGGCCCCGCCCCUGGUGACUGGAUUAAGUGGAAGCGUAAACCCGUGAGUGCGUUUUCGCUAUCAGAAAGCGUCUUUUCGUUCUCCUUCAGCCAGAGUACGCUUCCCUGAUCUGAAAACGUAUUCCGUGUCUGUGUCAGCAAGGUAUGCAUUUUCCCUGAAGCGAAGGCGUAUUCUUUAAAGUACGCUUUCUGUUUUUCUGUCCAGGCCCAAUUUGUUAAGAUUUUUCUUACAGAUAGGUCCCUGGCAGAAAAACAAGUGUAUCUUUUCAACCGUAGCUCCAAAUCAGGUGAUUCCAAAGCCCACAUAUUCGUUUCAUCGAGCCCGUUCUGAUGGAACCAUUUUCACCAUGUGUUUGACAUUCUGAAAACGACCAUUUUGCCCCUGCCCUUAUUCAUCCCCCUUCGAGAGAGUACGUUUUCCGGCGAUCCUUUCCGCGAGUUUCUCGCAGUUUCUGCCGGUGAUUUCUUCCACCCCAGGCAAGCCACACCCUCCAUUUGCAUUACUAUAAUGCAGUGACAUGGUUUAAUCUAUUUGAACUUGUUUAAAAUAUUGCUUUAGCUACAUGACUUUGUGCAUGGCAUUUUCUCAGAGUAUUAUUUUGAUCUUGUUGUUGCCAUGCUAUUGUUUGGAUUACUAGGAGUUAUGUUUGUAGUUGAUGAGUAUCAUGUUGCCAUUGGAGUAUUAGUGGUUGAUAUUAUGAUUGUUUUCAUGAUGAUAUCUGUUAUUAUAUUUUUGGAGUAUUACUUUGGAUGUCAUGCUGCCUUUGGAUUAUUAGUGGUUAGUAUGAUUAUUUUCAUGAUGCUAGUCGAUGUUAUGUUACUGUUGCUUGGAGUAUUAAUUUCGGAGAUGAUGUUUACGUGUGGAUCUUAGCUGGAUAGCUUUGUUCUUGUUAUUGGAGUAGUAGACUUAUUGUUUUCAGAUUCAUCAUGAUAGAAAUGUUAUGCUGUCCUUGGAGUAUUUUGAUAUGAUGAUAUUAUGCUCAGAUUAUUUGUUGGAUAUUGCUAUGACUUGGAUUAUAGUUUGAUAGUUGAUAUCGGAGUAUC
rnacentral:lncRNA from 1 species